rnacentral:lncRNA from 1 species
UGUAUUAUCACCCUGGAUGUGUUGAGUUCCCUGCUGUCUUUUCUGCUUGACUGGUAACAAGGUGGCCCACAUGAACACCAACAGCAAAUGGACUGACUCAAGUCUCCUGGUCUUAACAGCCUGAAGUUCUGCCAGAUUCACCCAUCAGAAAUAAUUUCCUCUUGAAAACGAAUGUCAGUAAUUCUCUAUGGAAGCUAAUAUCACCAACUUGCAAAUGGAGAACAAAAUUUGUCAUCCAGAUACACCUAGUGUUUAAUGAUGUCAGUAAGGAAACAGUCCACCCUUUGGUCCAGAGGAGGCCAUGGUUAUUCUGGUGAAGCACAAGGGCAUGGUCAUUUUGAUCAGUCACUCUGCAGAGGGUCCAAAGCUGUGAAGCAGAGUAAACUCAGGACAGACAGCUGGAAUCCUGGGAGUGUAACCUCACCAACAGAUGAGCUGGUUGGGGUGCUCCGUAUUUGGGAUGAUAAACUGCUGUCUGUCGUCUGAAGAGGCUGCACUAUGGCCUUUCUUCACUGAUCACCAAACCGGAAACCUCUGCCGGCUUUUCUCGCUGAUGAUUCCCUCUGCCUGGAAAGCCUUCUUCCCCAGAUGGUCCCAUAACUACUACCUUCUCUUCACUUGGGACUGAGAUCAAAUGACACCUUCUCCAAGAGGCCCUGCCUUGACCCCAGGUCCCAAAGAACCUCCCCCAUCAGUGUAUCCUGGCAUUCUCUUUUAUUUUCUCUUUAGCAUGUAAGAUUCUUUAGUAAAAACCCUAGAAUUGGACUUCCCUGGUGGUUCAAGAAUGGUUGAGAAUCUUGCUGCCCAUGCAGGGGAACAUGGGUUCGAUUCCUGGUCCAGGAAGAUGCCACAUGCCGCGGGGAAACGAAGCCCAUGCACCGCACCUACUGAACCAGUGCUCUAGAGCCCGGGAGCUGCAGCUACGGAAGCCCUCACGCCCCAGAGCCUAUGCUGCAACAAGAGAAGCCACUGCAAUGAGUAGCAGCAGCCCCCACUCACCACAACUGGAGAAAGCCCGUGAGCAGUGAGACCCAACACAGCUGAAAAUAAAUAUAUAAAUAAUUUUAAAACCCUAGAAUUC